GGCCAAUCUCUUAAUUUGUACUUGAGCAAAAGCAUGAUUUUUUAGACAACAUUUGUAAGUUAGAUCCUCCAGUGAAGGUGAAAGGCAUUACCUUUUCAAAGUCUUGGUUGCGAGAAGCUUCUUCUUUCUCCUUGAUAAUCUGCCUGACCUCCUUGUCAAGUUCUCUCGCUUCUUCAGGUAACUGGAAGUACAUAAAUCUAGCUCAAUUAGCUUAAAUAACAUAAAAUUGCCUCUGCUCUCCCUAGGCCCCACUAGGUGGGAGCCUCGUGCAUUGGGCCACUCUUUUUAAUAGAUAUUAUAAAUAAUAGUUGAAGUGUAAAUAAACUCUAUACCUGUGCAUGUUGAAGCCGGACUCGUGAACCAGCUUCAUCAACCAAGUCUAUAGCUUUGUCAGGCAAGAAUCGGUCACUGGAGGGUACAGCAUUAUUUUUAUUUAUAAUUUAUAACCAGGAUAUACAUGGUUAAGAAAAACAGCAAGUAAAUAAGAAGAUAGAAUGAGAAUUUUGAUUCACAUAGAUAUGAAACAGCUAUAUUAGAUGUCCAAUGAUUCGAAGAGGACUAUUGCUGCUAAAUUACAGAAGCCUAACACAGAGAUCAAAUUAAUUCAUAGGAAAAGUUCCAGUUUAAACAUGCAGCAUUGAAUUUUUUAUAAAAAUGUUUAGUCGAGAACAUAAAUUGCAAGGCAAAAGAUGAACGAAGAAACAGAAAUACAGUAUGACAAACCUGAUAUACUGGUAAGAUAGCUGCGCAGCAGCUACAAGAGCCUCGUCGGUAUAGCGGAGCUUGUGAUGAAUCUCAUAGCGCUCUCUAAGUCCCUUCAGUAUUUGUAUGGUUUCAUCUACAGUUGGCUCUGGCACUUUAACUGGCUGGAAUCGUCUCUCCAAAGCUGGAUCUUUCUCAAUGUGCUUCCUGUAUUCGUCCAGUGUUGUGGCUCCAAUACAAAAGCAUCUUCUCGGCCAUGCUGUCCUCUAAAAGUCUCAUUAUGGCUCUUCUUAGAGGUCUAGCUCCAUAGCUAGGAUUAUAACCUUCCUCAACCACUCUGUCCCUAAACCUUUCUGUCACUUGAAGUUCAAUAUCUUUAGUCUUCAGUCUCUCGAACACCUCAUUGAGCAUUAUGUCUGCUAUCUCCUUCACUUCGAGUUUUGUGAGUUGCCUGAAAACAAUCAUUUCAUCCAACCUAUUCAAAAACUCUGGCCUAAAGUAUUGUUUUAGCUCCUCUGUCACUAAGCUCUUGAUUUUGUUAUAACUGCUAUCCUUCUCAUCGUAAUCCAAAUCGAAUCCAAUUCGGCGGCCUCCUUUCUCAAUCACACUGCUUCCAACAUUUGAUGUCAUUAUUAGAAGUGUGUUCUUGAAAUCAACAGUUCUGCCCUUGCUGUCUGUUAAUCUUCCAUCUUCCAGGAUUUGAAGCAUCAUGUUGAACACAUCAGGAUGGGCUUUCUCAAUCUCAUCAAAAAGUACAACAGUGUAAGGACGCCGCCGAACUGCUUCAGUCAAUUGACCUCCUUCAGUGUAACCCACGUAUCCAGGAGGUGAACCAAUGAGUUUGGAGACAGUGUGCCUUUCCAUAAAUUCACUCAUGUCAAGCCGAAUCAUGGCUUCUUCCGAACCAAAGUAAUAAGCAGCUAAUGCUUUGGCCAACUCGGACUUCCCAACACCAGUUGGACCAGAAAAGAUGAAGCUGGCAAUUGGACGAUUAGGGUUCUUCAAUCCAACCCGUGCUCGGCGGAUAGCCCGACUAAUCGCUUUUACGGCUUCAUCCUGACCAACGACUCGCUUGUGUAAAGUCUCUUCCAUCUUCAGGAGGCGAUCAGAUUCAUCUGUUGAGACUUUCUCAACAGGAAUACCAGUCCAGGAGGACACAAUAUGUUGUAUGUCUACUUCAGUCACGACAGGACCUGCAUCUCCUGCCUCAGUCUCUGCCUUGCUCAUCUCCUUGCCUUUCUCUACAAG
rnacentral:lncRNA from 1 species